GUCUGUGUCAGCAGCAACCCAAGCUCCAUGGUGUCACCUCCUUAGGCAGUCCCUACAGAGGCACAAGCCUUCAGACACUAGUUGCAGCUCAGACAUGGUCUCCCCUGGAACCCAUGCAGGCUGAGCCCACUCCUUCCCUGGGCCGUGUGCUGCUUGCACCCUCUCGUUCCCUUCGUAUCCUCCGAUGCGGCUGUCUCGAGUGUGUGAGUCUCAGUUCCUUGUUCCAACCACAAGUGAAACCGGGUCUGAAAGUGCAGUUUCUGCUUGGGCUGCCUCAUCCAUUCCUUCCUUAUUAACAGCUGCUUCCCUUCCCCAGAUGGCCCCUGAUUUGGGCCCCAGGGUAGACAGCUGGCUCUAAAGUGGGGACAUGGUAAAGGGGCCACCAAGGGCUGAGUUCAAAGCCCUACACUGCUGUCAAGGCUUGGGACUGCAAGGGAGGCCACAGCGAGUUGGGAUGGAGAACUCACCCUGUUCCCUCAGAGCGAUCACUCUACAAAGAGCCAGGCCAACUUCUCAGGAGCCCCUGUGCACCCCAAAUGGGUCACCCAGCCCCUGGCACAGAUACUUGCAGGGAGCUAACCUCACUCACGGGUCCCACUGUCCUCUAGGGGUUGUCUUAGACAGCGGCCUGCAGACAUGGGGCUAGCCUCAGCACAGGGAAUGGGCUACAGGAGCCAGGCCUGCGGCUGUGUCUGCCCUUGGUGCCCCAAGUUACAGGGAAGUGGGGACUAGAAACCACAGUGAGAGGAUGGGGGGUGCUGUAGAGGCAGAGUCAUCCACAGAGGCCCAGCACCCUCUUACCAGAGCCCCCUGAAGAAGGGAGUCAGGAGGUCACUUCCACCCAGAGCCGGCCUCAUGCUCUUGGAUAAAUCUCCCACCCUGACCCACAGCAGGCAACUCAGCAGACCAGGGCAGCUUUAGAGCUUAGCUUCUGGCCUUGACCAAUUGUUACAAUGUCCAGUGGGGCACAGACAUGAGGUUCUGGGCCAGGGUCACCAGGCUGGGCUAUCCAUCAGAGAGCUGCUGGCCAACCUCCCCCAGCUGCCCUGAGAGAAGUAUUCUCAUCCCUUAAAAUAGUUGAAUUGACAGAAAGGCAAGAAUGCAGCAGCCGUAAUCUAGGACUUCCCAGGGCCACAGACCUCUGAGCUCCUUCUCAGAACUACUCUGAGGUCAGGGGAGGAGAACCAGGAAGGGUAGCUCUAAGCCGCUGCAGACCUGUCCCAUCCUUGGUCCCUGUGGGUCUUUCGAAUCUAGACUGUCCAGAGAGGAACGUUCCCUGGUACUAGCAUCUCAGAAGUGGGGUGAGCUGGGAAAUAAACUCUUGAGCCUCCUGAGCCUCAAGGUUCUGGGGUUCCUGCCCUGUGGGCUAAGCUGUGGGCCUCAGGUAUGGGACAGGACAUGGCUGCCAGGUGGUUGGAGAUUUUGAUACCCAAUGAUCUUGGAUUCAUAGAUUAAGCAAGGAGCGGUCAUCUGCCGACCAAUCUGGUGGUUUGUGGGAUCUAAGGUGUUGGGAGGGUGGGGCUGUGGGAGGUAAACAGAUACCCGUCCUGAGGCCCUGUCUGGCCCUAGCCUGGCUAACACUUACCUCUGGGUGCCAUUUUUUCUUGUCCAUCCUGGCUCCAGUCAUUGUCUGCAGGCCUUGCCUGUGCAGGCACCUGCCUCCUCUCUGGCCUGUUGCUUCCCCUUCCAUUCACUUCCCCUUUGUUCUACGUACCCCACCCCCGCCUCAAGACUGAAUGGGCCUCUACUCUAGAGGGCGGAGCUGAGAACUUUCACCCUCUGGAGAAAAAUCUACCCUGCCUGCUCCUAGGAAGGGUCCCUCCACUGUAACUCAAAAGUCUUUGGAAUUAAGUUUGCCGCAAGCACCAGAGACUCAAGUAGGAGAGGCUCAAACCGUAGCCUAACUGGCCUCCAGGGGGGCUCACAGACUGAAGGCUGGUGGUGUGAUUGAAACUGCAUCAUGAGCUAAUUGACAAACUGGGCAAUGAUAGGGUCAUCAAUGAUACAAUCAUGGCGGGUAGACUGGUGGGAGGAGGUGGAGAUUGUGGAGGCCUGGUUGGAGGAUGUAGGUUUCUGGGUCAGGACUUUGGUGGCCAUAUCUGAUGCCUGGGCUCUUCAUCUCUCUCUGCUUCCUGUCUGUCAUGGGCAAGCUGCUUCCCUCUGCCUUGCUGCUGUCACUAUGGUUGGUCCACAGCCAUGGCAAAGCUGAUCCCGAGUGGAAACCCCUGAAGCUGCAAGACAGCCUAAGUCCUUUGUUCUUUAAAUGGUUUACAUCUCGGGUUUGCGUCCUGGUGAAGGAAAACUGACUGAUCCACCAACCGUACCCUGCAAUCAGCUUCACAUCCUUCAAAUCCUAAAAGGGCUUCCAAAGCUCGGCCGUCACCCCCAUAUCCCUAGCAGAGAACACAGCAUCCCCAGAAGACUUCUGGAGGUCAAAAAUGGAACUUCCAUUCAUCUAUUACCUACGACUCCAUCUACACUUGGUCAUAGGGCCAUACCUAGCUGCAAGGAAAGCUGGGAUCUGGAGGUAGCCAUGACUCACCUUGCUGAGGAGUUCAGGUGGGGCUGUGCCCUGGUGUAUCCACAGAAGUAGGUCACCUAGUGGCUCCUUGUAAGGAUUCUGCCUCCCCUCAUAUUCCAAGAAGGAUCUUUCUGAAGACCAAACCUUGCUGCCUUUAGACAGGGUCUCGGGAACAGCCCCAACUUUGAGCAGGGUCCAGGUUGACCUCGCUCCUCCUUGGCAGGCAGAAGGCCUCAGUCCAGGGAUCUGGCUCAGAGUGUCCUCAGGGGAAGGAUGGCAACCUCACAGGGUGGGGAGCCUCAGGUCCUGAGGGCAGGGCCUGACCUUAGUGACCCAUGUCCAGCCUGGUAGGUCAGAAAGUGAGCAGAAAAGAGUCCCAUCCUUCACUUCCUGUGGGAUAAUACCCCAGCUUGGCUUUGGGGGUGUUGUGACUUCUCCACCAGAAAAGACGGCUCAGACAUGGGUGUAAGCCAACAGAAAGCCUUUAUUAGCCACCCAGCAACCACACUGGGUUUCAGGAUCCCAGUGUAGCCCCAAGCCUUUCUUGGGUGAGUUUUUAAGCAUAGAAAUCACGUCCUGGGUUGAUAUGCUUUAGUUAACAAGAACAGUUAACAGACGUGGAACUACAGAAGUCAAAAACCAAGCUUAGUACAUUUGGAGACUUUCCUAGGGCUGUGCGUUUCGAUGGAUUAGGUCUUUGUUUUAAUUGUGGUGGUGAUGUCUACAUGCUGAGUUUCCAUCACGGAGUCAGUUGUGCUAAGGUCUACUAACGUCUGCUCGGGCCUUACAAUAGGGUUGGCUGUCCUUUCUAGGACACAGAAGGUAGCCUCCUCAAGUCAAGCCACUGCAUGCCUCGAGUAUCACUAUUCCAGGUACAUACCCUGAGGGAGGGGUCUUCGGGGAUUUUGAAUAGGUGGCAGGAGGGGACUCAGGUCAGUGGAAGAGGGUCUUCCUCCUGCUUGAAAGCAGGGCAGAGAACUUUGAACAUCCCGGAUGCACCUUUCAGGUAUAGGAGGGCAGGCCCUGCUGCUUCAAGGAAACCCAAGCCUGUCCGCCACAACUCCCCUCCCGGGCUACAGUACGCUAGGACUAGGCACGGUGUGCAGCACCACCUUGGGAUGCAUUUGUCCUGAAUAUAUCUAAGGGAGUCAUAGGACACAAGGGCUGGCGUAUAGGUCUUCUGGAAGUAUGGUGGCACCUUGUGGUGACCAGCUCCUCUUAAAUGGCUAUACACCCUGAGCCCUUGAUGGGCUGGGCUGGGGAAGAUGGCUUUGGAGGUUUCUCAUAAAGCUGAGAAUCUUUGUCUUCAAUUUCUUUUCUAUUUCAAAAUGUGUAUCUUUUUUUUUUUUUUUUUGGUUCUUUUUUUCGGAGUUGGGGACCGAACCCAGGGCCUUGAGCUUCCUAGGCAAGCGCUCUACCACUGAGCUAAAUCCCCAGCCCCUCAAAAUGUGUCUUAUGGGAGGAAGUGCCUCAGUGUUUGUCAGGAAGGCUAACAAGUAAGGAGCCACCCAAGCCAGCAACAAGCAUGCCACCUUUUUGAGUUUCCAUUGCAGGACUGUAGCUAGGGGUGUCCAUAUUACCGUGCCUCGGAUAACCAGGCUGGUUUUGAUCACGGGAGCCUGAGGGAGACAAACCUGUCCAUGAGAACCAAAGUGAGAUCCACUUGGCCUCACCCCUCCUCACACCCUGAGGCGCUCAGCAGAUGUCAGCUCCACUGCACAGGACCUAAACAAUAGUCGGGAUGCUAAACGGUCCUGGGGGUUUAUGAAACAAAGUGGUUACAGACCAAAUUUCAGACAAUAUAAACUCCUCUAGCUUACACACACACACACACACACACACACACACACACACACACGCGCGCGCGUGCGCGCGCGCAACAAACGCGUGAGCUAUGUGCUAACCCCUGAUGGAGGCUGUGAAGUCGCUGGGUGAGAGGGAGCUUCCAGCUUUCUGGUUAUCUCAGGACCAUUGCAGUGCGUGUUUUCUCCUUAACGGAUGCGUCUUUGCUCACUAGGCUCUAAUAUCCAUGUUGAGCUUCAUUUCCUAUGCUUUUCCUUGCUGCUUAAAAUAAGAAACAGAAGGUAGGGUCGUUGCUGUUUUGUUGAUGGCAGGGUCUCUCUCACAUAGUUCAGGUUGAACUGCAGAACUGUAGCUCAAAAUCACCUUGAACUUCUCAUCCUCCUGCCUCCGCCUCCAGAGCGGUACAAUAAUGAACACCAUCGCAGCUGAUUUGCAAAUUCUAGGCAAGCUGUCUACAGACAGAGCCACACCCCAGCCUCCUUAGCCACACCCCCAGCCUUCUUAGCCACACCCAGCAUCCUUAGCUACACCCCAGCCUCCUUAGCCACACCCCCAGCUUCCGAGUCACAACCCCAAGCUCCUUGAUGACUUUUUUCUUUUUUGUUGUUGAAAUCAAUGAAAAAAAAAAUUUUGUAGGUUUAAAUAUUUUUUUCAUUUUUAUUUAUACUGUGGCAUAUAUAGUAGAUCACAGAACUCUGAGAAACAAUAUAUUAACUUUUUCAACAACUAGUUUAGCAAUUCAGCCAACACACAUUGAUAUUAAAGUGCACAUGUUAAAUAUGUAUAAUGAAUAAUGAGAAAACAUUGGAAUAAUUAUUUGUUAAACUAUUUAGACAAAUUAUCUGUAUAUUUAUAUCAUGUUUCAAUAUUUUAAUUCUGUUCAAAGUUUUCCCAUAGAAACUGCUAUUUACAUUGUAUGUUCUUUUUUCUUUUUUACUACCUAUAAAUCACUUUAUUUUUUUUAUCUUUAUUAACUUGAGUAUUUCUUAUUUACAUUUCGAUUGUUAUUCCCUUUCCCGGUUUCCGGGCCAACAUCCCCCUAACCCCUCCCCCUCCCCUUCUAUAUUGGUGUUCCCUUCCCCAUCCUCCCCCACAUUACCGCCCUCCCCCCAACAAUCACAUUCACUGGAGGUUCAGUCUUGCCAGGACCAAGGGCUUCCCCUUCCACUGGUUCAAUGAAAAAAAUUUUAACACUUUAUCUUAUAUGUCCAGUGGUUUGGGACAUUAUAUAGUAUUUUCGUUUUAAAAUAAGCAGUUUUCAUUUUCUUUGACACCAAUAGCUUUGGAAGGGUUAUUUUGGCAUCGAGAGUUGCACUUAGGACACAGAACCACACUGCUGGUUUUAGCCUGACCUGCCUUCUCCCAUCGCCACCUUCUUUCUCUUCCUGAGGUGAUGUUAGACACUUUGUAAGUACGGGCACCCACACAGAUUCAGGCGUGGUUCCUCAAGCACACAGGUCUACUGUGUCUUUUUUUUUUUUUCCGGAGCUGGGGACCGAACCCAGGGCCUUGUGCUUGCUAGGCAAGUGCUCUACCACUGAGCUAAAUCCCCAACCCCUUACUGUGUCUUUUUGAGACAAUGCUUCUCGAAAGUUUGGGCCUCUUGGUUGCUCUAGGCUGGCUAACUAGUGAGGCCCAAGGAUCCUGUCUGUAGAGAGCGAACUCGAACUCGAACUCGAACCAACCUAAGACAUGGGGCCCGGUGGCGAUAGGGUAACUCUAUGACGGGUAAGGCCGAGUUUGGAUGAGAACGACCUAAGACAGGAGCAAUGACAAGAUUGACGUGACACCCAGAUCUAGACCAGUCAUUUUAUUAAACAAAAAAGGGGGAGAUGUAGAGAGCGGUGCGGCGAAACAAAGAUGGCACCGACAUCCAGCCUUGUCUGGAUAUAAACGACUUACUGCGCAUGUGCAGGCUUGUCCCCUUGCUAGGGCUCCCUCUAGUGGUGAACAGCGGUACUGCACAUAUGCUAAUGAGGUGAUUCAUUCUCCGCCAAUCCCUGGAGGACAAGUAGUGGGGUGAUCCAAGCCCCACCAAUCCCUGAGAGAUAAUUAGCAUACUGUUGUCUAUAUAAGCCGAGCGAUUUUGCUGCUCGGAGUCCCUGUUCAAGAGAGCUGUAACACUAAGAAGAGCUGUAACACUGAGAAGAGCUGUAACAUUAAGAAGAGCUGUAACACAGUAAAGGCUUGUUCGCAGAAGAAUCCUGUUGCCGCGCGUCGUUCUUACUGGCGGGACAUUAGGCGCACGACACCUGUCUAUAUCACCCAGCCCUGGGAUUACAAGUAUGCGCCACUGCCCUGGAUUUUUAUGCAAGCUUGUGAUGGUUUUAUAUGCUUUGCCCAGGGAGUGGGGAGUGGCAGGGUUAGAAAGUGUGGUCCUGUUGGAGUAGGUGUGUCACUGUGGGCAUGGGCUUUAAUACCCUCAUCAUAGCUGCCUGGAAGCCAGUAUCUGCUAGCAGCCUUCAGAUGAAGAUGUAGAACUCUCAGCUCCUCCUGCACCAUGCCUGCCUGGAUGCUGCCAUGUUCCUGCCUUGAUGAUAAUGGACUGAACCUCUGAACCUGUGAGCCAGCCCCAAUUCGAUGCUGUCCUUACAGGAGUUGCAUUAGUCAUGGUGUCUGUUCACAGCAGUAAAACCCUAACUAAGACAAGGCUCUAUGCUGACUUCAGGUCCCUAGGCUUCUGUAGUAAGCAUUUUAGGGAACAAGAUAUUUCCCCAAAUCCCAUGUUAGACAUCUUUCAUCACUGUGACCAAGUAUCUGAGAAAACAGUUUAGGAGAGGAGAAGUUUUGUUGUUGGUUUAGUUGGUUCCCAAGGUUCGGGUCCACAGUCACUGGCUGUGUCUCUGAGGCUGUGAUGAUGUAAAACACCAUGACAGAGGGUUUGUUGUGGGGCAGCAGGAGUACCACUCAUCUCAUGCAGUCAGUGGUGGGAGGACGGGGGUGGGUCGACAUACGUGCUUCAAAUGCAGCCAGUGACCUCCCCAAACAGGUCAGACCUUCUAGUAGCCUUCUCAGCAUACACUUCCCAGCAGGUUCACUCGCUGAUGAAGUUAACGCUUGUGCUCUCCACUGGGCUAAGCCUUCAACUUAUGAGCCUUUGGGGGACACUUCAUGUUCAAAUCCCCGGACUUGGUUUCUCACCCCUAAAGGCUCAUGGCUACCUCACAGUACAGAAUUCAUGUACUCUAUUCCCCAAGAGUCUCCCAUAAUCUUUGGUUUUAACAAGUACAAGCGUUUUGCCUGUGUGUGCACCACAUGCAUCAGUAAUCUGCGAGGCCAGAAGAGGGCAUCAGGUCCCCUGGAACUGGAGUUAACAGACACUUGUGAGCCUUUAUGUGGGUGCUGGAAACUGAACCCCAGUUCUCUGGAAGAGCAGCACAUGGUCUGAACUGCCCAGCCACCUCCCCAGGUUAAGUGCCCAUUGCUGGUCUGCAUAGAACUUCGUGGGUUCUCCUUUUUCCCACCCUUUAUUCCCUGGUUUCACCCCCUACCACUAGAGAAGAGAGAAAGAAGGAUAGAAGGGGAUUGGGGAGAGAGAGAGAGAGAGAGAGAGAGAGAGAGAGAGAGAGAGAGAGAGAGAGAGAGAGAACUAAAUCUAAUUUCUUGUUUCUUCUUUGGACUUGACUAACAAACUGUGCUCACCCCUCCAAUGACCACCAACCACCAACAAUGCCUACUGGGGCUCUAGCAUUUAUUUAUUGACCCUCUGAAAACUUCCCAGAGUUCCAAUCGUCACACACUCCCAGAAACUAUCCAGAGCUGGACAAACCGUCCCCGGCUAGAGCACGAGGCAAAUCAUAGUCACCCGCUGUGGACAAUCUGAAGCAGCCCCAUAUCCGCACACAUGGGAUUAAAAUGAAAACAUAUUUGUAUCACAUUUCUGUGUGUUUUUUUUUUUUUUAAGAAACCACAAUUCCGGAAUUCCCACAAGACCCCAUAACCUUAACAAUUCAGGUAUUUAAAAAACCAAGUUCAAAGUCUCCUCUGAGACUCAUGGCAGAUUCUCACGAACCCCUGUAAAGUUAAAAGGCGUGUUGCAUACUCACAGUGUACACGGCAUUGGGUAGACAGCACCAUGCCAAAGGCGGAAGUGAGAACACAGGGUCAAAGCACGACCCAGACCCAGAGGGCAAACAUUCAGACGAUGUAGCUCCAGGUCUGCCGUCUGCAGUGUGGAGUUUGUGUGGUGAAUGCCAAAGGUCCUGGGCAGCACUGCCCCUGAAGCCUCUCUGUUGGAUUGACUCUACUCACUGCCUAUGGCUUUCCUUGGCAUAUAUUCCAUAUUCUUGGUGUUUUCCCCAUAUUGCCUGUAUCAACCUUUCCUCAGACUUGUUCCUCUUGUUCCCUCUGCCUGUUUCCUGGCUGCUGGGAGGUGAGCAGCCGCCCCCACCACAAGCUUCCACAGCUCUGGUGCUCUGCUUGGACUCAAAGGCAAUGAACCCAGCUAACCUUGACUGAGACCUGGUUUUUCUUUUUAGCAGUGUGGGGGAUCAAACCCAGGCUCUCCUGUGAGCUUGACCUUGAAUAGAAACUUGAGAAAACAGAGUCCCAAACCAACCUUUCUCCUUACAUCAUCAUCAGGUGUCAUGUCACAGUGACAAAGGCCAGCUCAGGGGUUUCCGUGUUUUCAUUGGUAUUUUUCUUGGCUGGGUUAUUAGACUCUGGGUUUAUAGUUUUCAUCAUACUUAGAAACUUUUGUCAUUAUUCCUUUCAGCAUUUCUUUUUGUCUUGCCUUUUCUGGAACGGUGUUACUUACUAGUUGGAUCUUUCUUUCUUUUUUAUUUUUAUUUCUUGAGAUAUAAAGUGUGUAGGCCUGGAUAUUCUGGAACUUGCUCUGUAGACUAGGCUGGCCUUGAACUCAGAGAUCCACCUGCCUCUGCUCCCCAAGUGCUGGGAUGAAAGACACGUGCCACCCACCAUGUCCUGGCUUAAGUUGGAUUUCUUGGUAUUAUCACACGAACUGUGAAUGCCGUGUUCUGUUUUCUUCUGAUUCAUUUGGAAUUCUUCUCAUGUCAUGUCUCCAAUACAUGAAAGUGUUACAGUUAAAACAAGUGUUGGGGUUAAAUGGCAAGGUCAGGGACGUGGGAAAAUAAAUAAGAAGGCUUCAUCCGGGCACAAGAUACCCAAGCCGACCAGACAGGAGGAAGGUUAGAGCUCUGGGAAAAACCACAAAGCAAGUUCCAGCUGGCUCCAGAUGGCGCUCUUCUUGGGGGAGCACGCAGGUGCACUUUGCCCUUUAUUCUAGCAAACUUAUCAAUUUGUGGGUCUUUACACUUUCAUUUCAUGAUUAUAUACAUUAUAUCCAUCCCUGUAACCAAUGCAUCUAACAAACCGAGGUGUGGGGAGGGAGGGAGACCACUGAGUUCAGCACAGGAAUAGGCACUGGCAGCAGAAAUAGUAACAGGAGUGAGGGUUGUACCUGUAAGGUCCGAGCUGGGCUUUGCUGUUGCCACUGGGCUCAGGUUACUCACCACCCAGGAAGGGUGCACUCUCCACUUCCUUAUCGCCUAAAAAACAAAUUCUAGCUACUGCUUAACCCACCCGUGCCCAGUUCCCCAGGAGCACUCAGAACCAAGAUUGAGGUGGCAGGAAGUCCUGGAGGAUGACCUUCCCAUUCAAAACAAAACCAGCAAAUGUUGAGGGUUGGUCUAGAGCUGCUAUGAUUUCAAAUGCUAAAUACUGACCCCCGGGAUCUGUUUGUCCCCAACAGCAGAUCCUCACCUGUCGUCAAACGAUGCUGUGCAAACUUUGUCCCCCUCCCCCAAUUUAAAACAUUGGUUAAAUAAAGGUGGCUGCAGCCAAUUAUUAAGGAGAAUAGAAAGGGGCACAGUGUCAGUUACCAGGCUGGGGAGACCACAAGGAGGAAGGAGAAGAGGAAGAGGAGGGAAGAGGAGGAAGGAGGGGAGGAGGGGGGAGGAGGAGGAGGAAGAGGAAAAGAGGAAGAGGAGGGGAGGAAGAGGAGAGGAAGAAGAGAGGGAGGAGAAGGAGAAGGAGAAAGAACAGUGAAGGAAGAGGAAGACAGAGAGAGCAGGAGGUCUCCACUUAGAGAUGGAGCAGGAGCAUGUGCCUGAGUGAAAUGCCCCCCACCCCCCAGGACAUACUGCUGGGGCAGAAGGAGCCCAAACAGCAAGUAUUUGGGGAGCACAGCUGGGAAUUAACAGUGUAGCGAAUAGAAAUAUAGAUUAGGGGUCAUCCCCCAGUAACUGCAUGGAGCUAAAUAAAUAAAUCAUAGCCCGAGUCUCAUUCAUACAGAAGCUAAACAGGGACAGUGUGAGGUGGAAUCCCACGGUUGCUUUGAUUUGCGUUUCCCUGGUGACUAAGGAUGUUGAGCAUUUCUUUAGGUGCUUCUCAGCCAUUCCAUACUCCUCAGCUGAGAAUUCUGUUUAGCUCUGUACCCCAUUUUUAAUAAGGUUAUUUGGCUCUCUGGAGUCUAACUUCUUGAGUUCUUUGUAUAUUUUGGAUAUUAGCCCUCUAUCAGAUGUAGGAUUGGUAAAGAUCUUUUCCCAAUCUGUUGGUUGCCAUUUUGUCCUAACAACAGUGUCCUUUGCCUUACAGAAGCUUUGCAGUUUUAUGAGGUCCCCUUUGUCGAUUCUUGAUCUUAGAGCAUAAGCCAUUGGUGUUUUGUUCAGGAAAAUUUCCCCAGUGCCCGUGUGUUUGAGGCUCUUCCCCAUUUUUUCUUCUACUAGUUUGAGGGUAUCUGGUUUGAUGUGGAGGUCCUUGAUCCACUUGGACUUAAGCUUUGUACAGGGUGAUAAGCAUGGAUCGAUCUGCAUUCUUCUACAUGCUGACCUUCAGUUGAACCAGCACCAUUUGCUGAAAAUGCUAUUUCUUCCCUGGAUGGUUUUAGCUCCUUUGUCAAAGACCAGGUGACCACAGGUGUGGGUUCAUUUCUGGGUCUUCAAUUCUGUUCCACUGGCCUGCCUUAUAUAAUCAUUUUAUGCUGACAGUCAAAGCAAAGCUCUAUGGGCUCCAAAUGCCCGUCUACAGUGCUUUCCACUUUUUUUUUCUUUUUUCUUUUUUUCGGAGCUGGGGACAGAACCCAGGGCCUUGCGCUUGCUAGCCAAGCGCUCUACCACUGAGCUAAAUCCCCAACCCCUGCUUUCCACUUUUUUAACAUUGAAAAUAUUUUCUUUUUCAGUCUCUCUCUCUCCUUUCUUUGGAGACUUUCCUUUAUCUUCUUUAGCCUCUGUGCACAUUAAAAAAAAUUUUUUUAUCUAUUUUUUUCCUUCAGAAACUUAAUCUUUUUCUUAAGAUUUAUUUAUUUUAUGUAUCUGAGUACACCGUAGCUGUCUUCAGACACAACAGAAGAGGGCACCCCAUCUCAUUACAGAUGGCUGUGAGCCACCAUGUGGUUGCUGGGAUUUGAACUCAGGACCUCUGGAAGAGCAGUCAGUGCUCUUAACCGCUGAGCCACCUCUCCAGCUCUGAGACUUAAUCUUCUAUGUGCACUUCUCUAUUACUGCCUUCUAAACUUAGAACCUUUUCUGUAUUAAUUUUCUCUAAGUCCUUUUUCAUCCUUGUGUGGCUUACUCUUUUUAAUUAUUUAAUUCUCUUUAAGGAUUUUACUAGUCUCAAACUAUUUGCAUCUAUCAGCGGUGUUUCAUACCCAGCCUUUUUCCCUUUUUAGCAUCCAAACAUAAUUUCAAACAGUUUUUUGUUUUUUUUUUUUUUUUACCCGAUCAUCUGUGCUCAGAUUUCUUCUCAUGUCUGUGUUGGCCAGAGCUGGUGUUGUAUGGACCCCACCCCCACCCCUUCCCGUUCAGUUCAUGGAAGGAGUUUCUGCCUUCCAGGUUUGUAGCUGGUAGCAGUCCAGUCUCUUGUUGACAGGUACCAGCUAGGAGCUGUGUCUUACCAGAUGCCUGACCCCUCCCCUGUGGCCUCUUUGUAUAGGCUGAAUCCAGCUACUCUGUGUCCCAGCUCUGUAUUUCCCAGCUACAGGUAGAAGCACAACCUUCCCCCACGUCAAGGUCGGGUCUGGCCUGUAACAUGCGCUCCAAGCCCAGAAGAGCUGCUUUUCUAUUCCACAGGUUUUUGUUGUUUUGUUUGGAAAUAUCCACCUUUGGUACUGCCUCUCUGUGGUUUCCCAGUCCCUGGCUAAGGAAUCACCUUCCACCAGUUCUUAGGCUCUAGGCUUAGAUUUCUAGCCCCACAUUGGGCACCAAAUACAAAGUAAAUCUUUGGAGCAUUUUCUAUGUCCCUUUGAUCCCAAACGACAGCAGGGCAUUUUUACACCUGUUCUAGAGAUCUGGUAUUUUUAUUAACAGGAUGCAAGCACGAAGCUAGGUAGAUAUUGAUCUACCCUAACCCUCUAUGACAGUCUACUGCCGAGACACAUGGUCCUUUAUUUGCGUCCGAGUCUUGCCUUGGCUCUUCUGUCUGUGUCCUAUGGCUCCUGACAACCUCACGGCAGAUCCUGCCAAUCCAGCCUCACGUUCUUUCCACUGUUCCCUCCCCCUUUUGCUAAUAGGCUACCAGCUUUUUAUUGACAGGUGAUGCUUCCACACAGUCCACAAGAGGUUAUCCCUACACCAAGGCCCAUGCCCUGUGUGUCAUGAGCUCUUUUCUCUACACGGUGACAACAUAAACAGUCCCAGGCCUGGAGCAGCCUCCAGGGACACGCAGCCUCCAUCCCACUCCGUGGUUGCUUCCCUAACCUCCUGCAGUCUCUCCCACAAGUGAAGGUCAUGGCCAAUCUGUGUAGUCCAGGCUUGUUCUCUCCCAUGCUCUUCUGCCCUGCUGGGUUCUGUCCUUCCUACAUCUGCUUAGCAGUGCCCUGAUGUCGGGCAAGAGCCCUCGCGUGCAGCAGAGGGCAGCUGUCAGCUCACAUGUCCUCUCAAGGGGAUCACAGUCCUUCUUUGCUGUUGCCUCAUAUCCGAAAGCUGUUGUUUUGUGCAUCUUUUCCCAGUUGAAGUUCCAGAUGAUCCAAUGGCCUCUUCUACUCUCCACUGGCACCAGGGAUGCACGGAGCGCAUGCGACCACUGAUACGCAUAACUGGAAUAAAAGCAAACAUCUG